ACGAACGCUGGCGGCGUGGAUAAGACAUGCAAGUCGAACGAGAGAAUUGCUAGCUUGCUAAUAAUUCUCUAGUGGCGCACGGGUGAGUAACACGUGAGUAACCUGCCCCCGAGAGCGGGAUAGCCCUGGGAAACUGGGAUUAAUACCGCAUAGUAUCGAAAGAUUAAAGCAGCAAUGCGCUUGGGGAUGGGCUCGCGGCCUAUUAGUUAGUUGGUGAGGUAACGGCUCACCAAGGCGAUGACGGGUAGCCGGUCUGAGAGGAUGUCCGGCCACACUGGAACUGAGACACGGUCCAGACACCUACGGGUGGCAGCAGUCGAGAAUCAUUCACAAUGGGGGAAACCCUGAUGGUGCGACGCCGCGUGGGGGAAUGAAGGUCUUCGGAUUGUAAACCCCUGUCAUGUGGGAGCAAAUUAAAAAGAUAGUACCACAAGAGGAAGAGACGGCUAACUCUGUGCCAGCAGCCGCGGUAAUACAGAGGUCUCAAGCGUUGUUCGGAAUCACUGGGCGUAAAGCGUGCGUAGGCUGUUUCGUAAGUCGUGUGUGAAAGGCGCGGGCUCAACCCGCGGACGGCACAUGAUACUGCGAGACUAGAGUAAUGGAGGGGGAACCGGAAUUCUCGGUGUAGCAGUGAAAUGCGUAGAUAUCGAGAGGAACACUCGUGGCGAAGGCGGGUUCCUGGACAUUAACUGACGCUGAGGCACGAAGGCCAGGGGAGCGAAAGGGAUUAGAUACCCCUGUAGUCCUGGCAGUAAACGGUGCACGCUUGGUGUGCGGGGAAUCGACCCCCUGCGUGCCGGAGCUAACGCGUUAAGCGUGCCGCCUGGGGAGUACGGUCGCAAGAUUAAAACUCAAAGAAAUUGACGGGGACCCGCACAAGCGGUGGAGUAUGUGGCUUAAUUCGAUGCAACGCGAAGAACCUUACCUGGGCUUGACAUGUAAUGAACAACAUGUGAAAGCAUGCGACUCUUCGGAGGCGUUACACAGGUGCUGCAUGGCCGUCGUCAGCUCGUGUCGUGAGAUGUUUGGUUAAGUCCAGCAACGAGCGCAACCCCUGUUGCCAGUUACCAGCACGUGAAGGUGGGGACUCUGGCGAGACUGCCCAGAUCAACUGGGAGGAAGGUGGGGACGACGUCAGGUCAGUAUGGCCCUUAUGCCCAGGGCUGCACACGUACUACAAUGCCCAGUACAGAGGGGGCCGAAGCCGCGAGGCGGAGGAAAUCCUAAAAACUGGGCCCAGUUCGGACUGUAGGCUGCAACCCGCCUACACGAAGCCGGAUUCGCUAGUAAUGGCGCAUCAGCUACGGCGCCGUGAAUACGUUCCCGGGUCUUGUACACACCGCCCGUCACAUCAUGGAAGCCGGUCGCACCCGAAGUAUCUGAAGCCAACCGCAAGGAGGCAGGGUCCUAAGGUGAGACUGGUAACUGGGAUG
rnacentral:rRNA from 1 species